rnacentral:lncRNA from 1 species
AAUACUGGAUGCUUGAGGGGGAAAGCUGCCCUUAGAAAAGGAUUGUGUGAUGGCUCUCAAAGUUACAUACUUACAUCUCAUAAAUGAUGAUAGUAAUCAAAUUAAAAACCAAAGUAGAAGAAUCAUCAUGGAUAAAUAGAAAAAUAUAAAACUAUAAUAUAGGCAUUAAAAGCCCCGAAUGUAAGGAUUACCAUGUCCACGUGCAUGACAAAAGUCAUCUGAGAAGAAGCAUUAACAGUAGAAUUUGUGUCCUUAUAGCUCUCGUAAACCCUUACAGUCCCGACUUCUCCAAGUACUUAUGAAGUGU